UACGUAGGGGGCGAGCGUUGUCCGGAAUGAUUGGGCGUAAAGGGCACGUAGGCGGCUUGUUAAGUCUGGAGUGGAAGUCCUCUUUUUUAAGGGAGGAAUUGCUUUGGAAACUGGCGAGCUUGAGUGCAGGAGAGGUUAUCGGAAUUCCCGGUGUAGCGGUGAAAUGCGUAGAGAUCGGGAGGAACACCAGUGGCGAAGGCGGGUAACUGGACUGCAACUGACGCUGAGGCGCGAAAGUGUGGGGAGCAAACAGGAUUAGAUACCCCCGUAGUCCCUGAGCGGG
rnacentral:rRNA from 1 species